rnacentral:rRNA from 1 species
UACGUAGGGGGCAAGCGUUGUCCGGAAUCAUUGGGCGUAAAGAGCGUGUAGGCGGUUCGGUAAGUCGGCUGUGAAAGUCCAGGGCUCAACCCUGGGAUGCCGGUCGAUACUGCCGGACUAGAGUUCGGAAGAGGCGAGUGGAAUUCCCCGGUGUAGCGGUGAAAUGCGCAGAUAUCGGGAGGAACACCUAUGGCGAAGGCAGCUCGCUGGGACGUUACUGACGCUGAGAACGCGAAAGCGUGGGGAGCAAACAGG